AUCAGGAGGUAGUUUA
rnacentral:tRNA from 1 species